rnacentral:sRNA from 1 species
UACACAUCUAAUGUUUCUCAAUCUCAGC